GUGCUCUUCAAUGGACUCUCCAACGCUUCUUCUCCGAUACUUCUAAUACUACCAACAAACCCCAACAACGGUGGAAACUCGUCGUUGUGCAUGUCAGACCUUAUGCUACUUCAAUCAUCAACGUCGCCGGUGCCGGUAUGCCAAUUUUGUUUUUCUCCAGUUAUAAUUUUAAAAAAAGCGUUAAAACACUUUACCUAACAACUUGAUUUUUUCCAGGCUCGGCCGAUGUUUUGCCGUUCGUAGACUCCGGUCUGAACGAAACGGUGACCAGAGUCGUCAACAACGUCAGGCAAAUUUGCAUCGGAAAGGUAACUAUCUAGUUUACUUACAAAAUUAGGGUUCAGAUGAGAUAGCAUUUUGAGAUAGAUAUGAAAGUUAUUUCUUAGCCGAUGGAUGAUAUAUGAAGGGUUCGAUGAAGGGUAUCUGUAAUAAAGUAAAUCUCGAGAUGAGAAAGUUAAUUGUUAACCGAUGGAUGAUAUAUGAAGGGUUGGAUGAGAGGUAUAUGUAAUAAACUAUCUUAAAAAUGCUAUCUCAUUAGAAUCGUUUCCUAUUUACAGUCGAAAAAUUAGGGUUUAAUCUGUAUUUUGGGUUUAAUCAUCUUUCUGAUGUAGCUCUUAUCGACAACUUAUAAGUUGGGAUUUUACAGCAGAAGAAGCUAAAUACGAAGCGCUUGUUUGUAAGUAGUUUUAGUAGAGAUCCUUUCUACUUCUUAAUUACUUACAACUUUUGUUCUUCAUUGGCUCUUCUGGAUAAUAAGCUCUGCCGUCCGUUAAUCUCCAAGAUUUCAUCUCGUCCGUCGAUAUAUAUAUAUAUAUAAAUAGACAUAAACAGACAUAUGUAGAUGGCAGACAGACAGAAAUGAAACGUUAUAUAUAUGUAGAUGAUAUUAUAAUAACCAGUUUUUGAAU
rnacentral:lncRNA from 1 species